rnacentral:rRNA from 1 species
UGCCAGCCGCCGCGGUAAUACGGAGGGGGCAAGCGUUAUUCGGAAUUACUGGGCGUAAAGGGCGUGUAGGCGGCCUGACAAGUCAAAGGUGAAAGCCCUCGGCUCAACCCCGGAACUGCCUCUAAUACUGCUAGUCUUGAGUUCGAGAGAGGUGAGUGGAAUUCCGAGUGUAGAGGUGAAAUUCGUAGAUAUUCGGAGGAACACCAGUGGCGAAGGCGGCUCACUGGCUCGGUACUGACGCUGAGAUGCGAAAGCGUGGGGAGCAAACAGGAUUAGAUA